AGGGAAUCUUCCGCAAUGGGCGAAAGCCUGACGGAGCAACGCCGCGUGAGUGAUGAAGGUUUUCGGAUCGUAAAGCUCUGUUGCCAGGGAAGAACGUCGGGUAGAGUAACUGCUAUCCGAGUGACGGUACCUGAGAAGAAAGCCCCGGCUAACUACGUGCCAGCAGCCGCGGUAAUACGUAGGGGGCAAGCGUUGUCCGGAAUUAUUGGGCGUAGAGCGCGCGCAGGCGGCCAUUAAGUCUGGUGUUUAAUCCCGGGGCUCAACUCCGGGUCGCAUCGGAAACUGGGUGGCUGGAGUGCAGAAGAGGAAAGUGGAAUUCCACGUGUAGCGGUGAAAUGCGUAGAGAUGUGGAGGAACACCAGUGGCGAAGGCGACUUUCUGGGCUGUAACUGACGCUGAGGCGCGAAAGCGUGGGGAGCAAAC
rnacentral:rRNA from 1 species